rnacentral:lncRNA from 1 species
CGCAAUUUAGUAAAGACAGUUUAGUCUACGAAGAUAGUGCAGAGCAAAAAAUGAGUAAUAAAACAGUCUUAGAAUUUGGAAAGGAAAAAGCCCAUACUGAUACUAUGUGUGACGUUUACAAAGAAGGAAAUCAGAUCAUAUUAGAGUGUUUUUGUAAUCAAAAACUUGAUAUAAAUGAUUAUCACACGAAUGAAUAUUGUGAUUGUUAUAAAUCGGGACCAGAAAGAAAGAAGACUUUGAGUAUAAGAUGCUAUUGUGGAUCUUUAAAAAUAUCGUAUGUGCGUUGACUAUGAAAGUAAGUUCCAUGAUGACUGCAACAAAGCCUGAAUAAUGAAAUAAAUCUGUCAGAAACAAAUAACGAUAUGUAACUCAUUAUUUUAUUUAAACGUUACAGAGCCUUCGUGUACAGUGUAUGAGUUUUAUGUCUUAAAAUAUUUAUUCGCUAAUUUAUAUAUAUAUAUAUAACUUGUUUGAAUGCAUUAAUUAAAAGUCGGCCU